rnacentral:rRNA from 1 species
GGAGGAAAAGAAACUAACAAGGAUUCCCCUAGUAGCGGCGAGCGAAGCGGGAAGAGCUCAAAUUUAUAAUCUGGCACCUUCGGUGUCCGAGUUGUAAUCUCUAGAAAUGUUUUCCGCGUUGGACCGCACACAAGUCUGUUGGAAUACAGCGGCAUAGUGGUGAGACCCCCGUAUAUGGUGCGGACGCCCAGCGCUUUGUGAUACAUUUUCGAAGAGUCGAGUUGUUUGGGAAUGCAGCUCAAAUUGGGUGGUAAAUUCCAUCUAAAGCUAAAUAUUGGCGAGAGACCGAUAGCGAACAAGUACCGUGAGGGAAAGAUGAAAAGCACUUUGGAAAGAGAGUUAACAGUACGUGAAAUUGUUGGAAGGGAAACGCUUGAAGUCAGACUUGCUUGCCGAGCAAUCGGUUUGCAGGCCAGCAUCAGUUUUCCGGGAUGGAUAAUGGUAGAGAGAAGGUAGCAGUUUCGGCUGUGUUAUAGCUCUCUGCUGGAUACAUCUUGGGGGACUGAGGAACGCAGUGUGCCUUUGGCGGGGGUUUCGACCUCUUCACAC